rnacentral:rRNA from 1 species
CGGACGGGUGAGUAACGCGUGGGUAACCUACCCUGUACACACGGAUAACAUACCGAAAGGUAUGCUAAUACGGGAUAAUAUAUUUGAGAGGCAUCUCUUGAAUAUCAAAGGUGAGCCAGCACAGGAUGGACCCGCGUCUGAUUAGCUAGUUGGUAAGGUAACGGCUUACCAAGGCGACGAUCAGUAGCCGACCUGAGAGGGUGAUCGGCCACAUUGGAACUGAGACACGGUCCAA